CAAGAAGGAAGGGCAGAUAAGGAGACAGCUCUGCCCCAGGGUGAGGAGGGCAAGAGUAAAGUUCUGUGGAUGCAAGGAGAGAUGGACUCUAACCCUGCCUGAGGUCAGGAAGGCUUUCUAGAGGAAGGAGGCCUGAAGACAGAAGUCAGCAUGGGAUGGGCCAAGCUUGUGCACUCGGAUGAAGAUAGCUGCCAUGUUGGAAGGGCCUGCAUGGCCAGAAAUGGAGGCAGCUUCCAGUCAACAACCAGUGAGGACUGAGACUCUCGAUCAAACAGCCCUCCCAGGAACCAAAUUCCACCAACAACCAUGUGAGCUUGGGUGCAGAUCUUUUCUCAAUCAAACCUCCCGCUGAGAUGCCAGCUAUGGCUGACAUCUUGCUUGCAAACUGAUGAAAGACCCAGAAGCAGGGGACCUGGCUGAACUGCGCCCAGAUUCCUGACCCAUGGAAACUGUGAGAUAAUGAGAGAGAGAGAGAGAGAGAGAGAGAGAGAGAGAGAGAGAGAGUGUGUGUGUGUGUGUGUGUGUGUGUGUGUGUGUGUUUAAAUAUAUAUAUUUUUCGUAGAGAUGGAGUCUUGCUUUGUUGCCCAGGUUGAUCUUAAACUUCUGGCCUCAAACGAUCCUCCCAAAGUGCUGGGAUUACAGGCGUGAGCCACCAUGUCUGGCCAUGUAUGUUUUUUGGUUUUUGUGUUUUUUUUGAGACAGGGUUUUGCUCUGUCUUCCAGACUGGAGUGUGGCAGUGCAAUCUCAGGUCACUGCAACCUCUGCCACCCGGGUUCAAGCAAUUCUCCUGCCUCAGCCUCCCGAGUAGCUGGGAUUACAGGCAUGCACCACCGUGCCUGCCUAAUUUUGUAUUUUUAGUAGAGACAGGGUUUUGCCAUGUUGGCCAGGCUGGUCUCGAACUCCUGACCUCAAGUGAUCUGCUUGCUUUGGCCUCCCAAAGUGCUGGGAUUACAGGUGUGAGCCACUGCUCCCAGUCCCACGUACAUUGUUUUAAGCAGCCAGGUUUGUGGCAAUUUUCUAUGCAGCAAUGAAUAAUGAAUACAUACCCUCAUCUCUGAGAGAGGCUGGGAAGGUAAUUUUUAGCUUGGUACAUUGCCAUCACCAACAAAAUUGGGGUUCCCUACGAAAAAGGAGGAGAAUGGAUAUUGCUGGGAAAGGCACAGGUAUCUCACAGAAGCCACUGAGGCAUACCUGGGAGGAGAAGCCAGUGUCUUGGAUCAGGGCAGUGGCAGCAGGAAUGGAGGGUAGCGAUUGGAUUCCUGGUUCCUGAGGUAGCAGCAAUCUUAUUUCUUUUAGAACAGUCUUCCUUUCACUUAUUACCAGUUGGCAAGGUCCCCUUAGCUCCUCUCAUACAUGACCUGGUUCCUACACAGAGUUCCAGAAAUGGAGCUCAAAUCAGAAAUCCAAAGCAUUGCAGGAAAAACAGACUGGGCACAAAAGCCACUGGCUAGUUCCAAGUCACACCUUUCCUCUCAUUCCCCGCUAUUCAGUGGGUUUCUGGUAGUAUGAUUCAGUAGGAUCUGG
rnacentral:lncRNA from 10 species